AUUGAACGCUGGCGGCAUGCCUUACACAUGCGAGUCGAACGGUAACGGGCCUUCGGGUGCCGACGAGUGGCGCACGGGUGAGUAAUACAUCGGAACGUGCCCGAUCCUGGGGGAUAACGAGGCGAAAGCUUUGCUAAUACCGCAUACGAUCUACGGAUGACAGCAGGGGACCGCAAGGCCUUGCGCGGACGGUGCGGCCGAUGGCAGAUUAGGUAGUUGGUGGGAUAAAAGCUUACCAAGCCGACGAUCUGUAGCUGGUCUGAGAGGAUGAUCAGCCACACUGGGACUGAGACACGGCCCAGACUCCUACGGGAGGCAGCAGUGGGGAAUUUUGGACAAUGGGCGCAAGCCUGAUCCAGCCAUGCCGCGUGCAGGAUGAAGGCCUUCGGGUUGUAAAAUGCUUUUGUACGGAACGAAAAGCCUUCUUUUAAUACAGGAGGGUCAUGACGGUACCGUAAGAAUAAGCACCGGCUAACUACGUG
rnacentral:rRNA from 1 species